rnacentral:tRNA from 2 species
GGAGAGUUCGCCUAAUUGGUAGGGCAACAGUCUUGAAAAUUGUGGUGUUAGCGCACAUGAGAGUUCGAGUCUCUCACUCUCCG